GACGAACGCUGGCGGCGUGCUUAACACAUGCAAGUCGUACGGUAAGGCCCUUUCGGGGGUACACGAGUGGCGAACGGGUGAGUAACACGUGAGUAACCUGACCACAACUUUGGGAUAACGCUAGGAAACUGGUGCUAAUACUGGAUAUGUGCUCCUGCUGCAUGGUGGGGGUUGGAAAGCUCCGGCGGUUGUGGAUGGACUCGCGGCCUAUCAGCUUGUUGGUGGGGUAGUGGCCUACCAAGGCGGCGACGGGUAGCCGGCCUGAGAGGGUGACCGGCCACAUUGGGACUGAGAUACGGCCCAGACUCCUACGGGAGGCAGCAGUGGGGAAUAUUGCACAAUGGGCGCAAGCCUGAUGCAGCAACGCCGCGUGCGGGAUGACGGCCUUCGGGUUGUAAACCGCUUUCAGCAGGGACGAAGCUUUUUGUGACGGUACCUGCAGAAGAAGCACCGGCUAACUACGUG
rnacentral:rRNA from 1 species